rnacentral:rRNA from 1 species
GACGAACGCUGGCGGCGCGCUUAACACAUGCAAGUCGAACGGAAAGGCCCUGCUUGCAGGGUGCUCGAGUGGCGAACGGGUGAGUAACACGUGGGUGAUCUGCCCCUUACUUUGGGAUAAGCCUGGGAAACUGGGUCUAAUACUGGAUAGGACCAUGCUGUAGGUGGUGUGGUGGAAAGAUUAGUUUCGGUAAGGGAUGAGCUCGCGGCCUAUCAGCUUGUUGGUGGGGUAAUGGCCUACCAAGGCGUCGACGGGUAGCCGGCCUGAGAGGGGGGACGGCAAAUUGGGGAUGGAGAACCGGCCGGGCCCCCGAGGGGGGCAGGAAGGGGGGAUGUUGGAAAAUGGGGGGCAGCCUGAAUGCGGCGCGGCCGCGGGGGGGAGGCGGGCUUUGGGGUGUAAACCCCCUUGCAGCCAUGACAAACCCUUUGUGGGGCGGUUGGUGGUAGAAGAACCCGCGCCUACCUACGG